AAUGGACGAAAGUCUGAUGCAGCAACGCCGCGUGGAGGAUGACACAUUUCGGUGCGUAAACUCCUUUUAUAUAGGAAGAUAAUGACGGUACUAUAUGAAUAAGCACCGGCUAACUCCGUGCCAGCAGCCGCGGUAAUACGGAGGGUGCAAGCGUUACUCGGAAUCACUGGGCGUAAAGAGCGUGUAGGCGGAUAGGUAAGUCAGAAGUGAAAUCCAAUAGCUCAACUAUUGAACUGCUUUUGAAACUGCUUAUCUAGAAUAUGGGAGAGGUAGAUGGAAUUUCUGGUGUAGGGGUAAAAUCCGUAGAGAUCAGAAGGAAUACCGAUUGCGAAGGCGAUCUACUGGAACAUUAUUGACGCUGAGACGCGAAAGCGUGGGGAGCAAA
rnacentral:rRNA from 1 species